GACAGAGGGUGCAAGCGUUGUUCGGAAUUACUGGGCGUAAAGCGCGCGUAGGCGGCCUUUUAAGUCGGGUGUGAAAGCCCAUGGCCUAACCAUGGAAGUGCACUCGAAACUGAAAGGCUUGAGUCCCGGAGAGGGUGGUGGAAUUCCCAGUGUAGAGGUGAAAUUCGUAGAUAUUGGGAGGAACACCAGUGGCGAAGGCGGCCACCUGGACGGAGACUGACGCUGAGGUGCGAAAGCGUGGGGAGCAAAC
rnacentral:rRNA from 1 species